rnacentral:rRNA from 1 species
ACAGAGACCUCAAGCGUUAUCCGGAAUUAUUGGGCGUAAAGGGUGUGUAGGUGGUUGUGUUAGUCCUUUGUUAAAACUCCCAGCUUAACUGGGAAGGUGCGAAGGAAACGGCACGACUAGAGAGUGCAAGAGGCAAGCGGAACUCAUGGUGUAGGGGUGAAAUCCGUUAAUAUCAUGGGGAACACCGAAGGCGAAGGCAGCUUGCUGGUGUACUUCUGACACUGAAACACGAAAGCGUGGGUAGCGAAUGGGA